GUUGGGGCUCCGCAUACGCAAACCCCCUCUGCCACAAAUAAUGACGCAGGCUCUUCCACUUGGGAAGACUUUAAGCUAAGCACCCUUCCUUUAUGUGCAAUGGAAGUCAUUAGCAUAGGCCACUCGUCUUCCUGAUCACAAGUUGACCCCAUCCAGGUAAGUAC
rnacentral:snRNA from 1 species